CGACGCCACUGAUCUCUUCAGCUAUUGGUGGAACUGGGGAUUUAAAAAUAAUGAGCGGACACAGUUUGGGCUGCUUGAAUCAUUUUGUUUGUGCUCGAGGAGCUGCUGGGUAUGCAUCGCGUGAGUGCUGUUUGAUUUGACUGUCACGUCUAUCUGUCCCCAGCCCAGCCUGCUGUCCGAAGUCCAGCCACCUAUCUACCAGCUGGCCUUCAGUGCCACUAAAGCCUCUGGUUUUAGGGUAUGUGGCAUAAAGGCAUCAGCGCAAAAGCCUAAUCACGUUAACAUCCACAACCAGACGCUCCGCUCAUUUGACUAAUCAAAGAGAACGGCUCGUUCAGA